rnacentral:tRNA from 1 species
UGCCCUGUUGUGUAAUUGGCAGCAUAUCUGACUUUGACUCAGACGGUCUAGGUUCAAACCCUGGCCGGGCAGCCA